rnacentral:rRNA from 1 species
GACGAACGCUGGCGGCGUGCCUAAUACAUGCAAGUAGGACGCACAGUUUAUACCGUAGCUUGCUACACCAUAGACUGUGAGUUGCGAACGGGAGAGUAACGCGUAGGUAACCUGCCUAUUAGAGGGGGAUAACUAUUGGAAACGAUAGCUAAUACCGCAUAACAGUAUGUAACACAUGUUAGAUGCUUGAAAGAUGCAAUUGCAUCGCUAGUAGAUGGACCUGCGUUGUAUUAGCUAGUAGGUAGGGUAAUGGCCUACCUAGGCGACGAUACAUAGCCGACCUGAGAGGGUGAUCGGCCACACUGGGACUGAGACACGGCCCAGACUCCUACGGGAGGCAGCAGUAGGGAAUCUUCGGCAAUGGGGGGAACCCUGACCGAGCAACGCCGCGUGAGUGAAGAAGGUUUUCGGAUCGUAAAGCUCUGUUGUUAAGGAAGAACGAGUGUGAGAAUGGAAAGUUCAUACUGUGACG